rnacentral:lncRNA from 1 species
CUAGCCUAAGGUGAGGAGAGACAAGGUCAGUGCACUCCAAGGCAAUCAGUUUCCAUGUGUUCUGUGAGACAUGCUCCCAAUGGGUUUGAUACAAGGACAGCACCCCUGGGAAUCUGGUGGCCAAGCUUGGGUCGAGAACAACAUUGCAUCCCAAAGACAUCACUCAGGACAUU